UUUUUUCUCUCUCUCUCGCUGCCUCUGUCUUUUCCUUUUCUUUUUUCCUUUUGCAACUUCAAUCCUUGAUUUCUUACUCAUCUUUUGGAAAUUUUGGAUGUCGUUUGCGGCAAAUUGAAGCCCACGAUGAGGUCUUCAAAUCCAUACAACAAUUUUAGCUUUUGGCCAUUAUAGGGAGUCCGAAAAUUGAGACCCAUUUUGAGGGUUUGAGGUGAAAAUUGGGGGUUUUGUAUAAAAGUGAGGAAACGUGAAAGAAGUGGCGGACGAUAAUCCCCCGCAAGCUUGAAGAAUACUAGGAGUUGUAUUUUGUUAUCUUUUGUAUCUUAGCCCAUUUUUUUUGGUCUAGUCGCAAACUAUAUAAAAGGGUAUUCAUUUUUGCAAAUCAUGGCCCUGUAACAUAACUAAGAUCCUUGAUUAUUUUUGUUGUAAACUGAGACUAUGUAAAUGCUUAAGUUAAAUGGGAUGACGAUGAUGGGCUAACUUAGGAAGGUUGUUGAUGUUGUGGUAUUGGGAAAUGUAUUAUAUUGCUUUUGUAUUAUGUGUUGGGGCAGGUUGGAUAGGUCUUGAAAGGCCAUUGCAUUUUUUUUUUUUUUUU